UACGGAUGGGGCAAGCGUUGUUCGGAAUCAUUGGGCGUAAAGGGCGCGUAGGUGGCUCUGUAUGUCUGCCGUGAAAGCAUACAGCUCAACUGUAUUGUGUCGGUAGAAACUGCAGGACUUGAGGCUGGGAGGGGCUGGUGGAAUUCCCUGUGUAGCGGUGAAAUGCGUAGAGAUGGGGGAGAACACUCGUGGCGAAGGCGGCCAGCUAGACCAGUUCUGACACUGAGGCGCGACAGCGUGGGGAGCAAACAGG
rnacentral:rRNA from 1 species